rnacentral:rRNA from 1 species
GUAAGGAAUAUUGGACAAUGGGGGAAACCCUGAUCCAGCCAUGCCGCGUGAGUGAAGAAGGCCUUCGGGUUGUAAAACUCUUUCAGAUGUGAAGAUGAUGACGGUAACAUCAGAAGAAGCUCCGGCUAACUUCGUGCCAGCAGCCGCGGUAAUACGAAGGGAGCGAGCGUUGUUCGGAAUCACUGGGCGUAAAGAGUGCGUAGGCGGUUAUACAAGUCAGGAGUGAAAUCCCAGGGCUCAACCCUGGAAUUGCUUUUGAAACUGUAUAGCUAGAGUCCCGGAGGGGUUAAUGGAAUUCCGAGUGUAGAGGUGAAAUUCGCAGAUAUUCGGAGGAACACCAGUGGCGAAGGCGAUUAACUGGACGGGCACUGACGCUGAGGCACGAAAGCGUGGGGAUCAAACAGGAUUAGAAACCCGGGUAGUCC